GAGUUUGAUCCUGGCUCAGGAUGAACGCUAGCGGCAGGCCUAACACAUGCAAGUCGAGGGGUAACAGGGAAAGCUUGCUUUCCGCUGACGACCGGCGAACGGGUGCGUAACACGUAUGCAACCUACCUUCCACUGGGGUAUAGCCCAGAGAAAUUUGGAUUAAUCCCCCAUAGAACCAAGAGUCGCAUGGCUCAAUGGUUAAAGGAUUCCGGUGGAAGAUGGGCAUGCGUCCCAUUAGCUAGUAGGUGAGGUAACGGCUCACCUAGGCAACGAUGGGUAGGGGCUCUGAGAGGAUGAUCCCCCACACUGGUACUGAGACACGGACCAGACUCCUACGGGAGGCAGCAGUGAGGAAUAUUGCGCAAUGGACGAAAGUCUGACGCAGCCAUGCCGCGUGAAGGAUGACUGCCCUAUGGGUUGUAAACUUCUUUUAUAUACCAAGAAACCUCAGGACGUGUCCUGAGCUGACGGUAGUAUAUGAAUAAGCACCGGCUAACUCCGUGCCAGCAGCCGCGGUAAUACGGAGGGUGCAAGCGUUAUCCGGAUUUAUUGGGUUUAAAGGGUCCGUAGGUGGACCAUUAAGUCAGAGAUGAAAGCCCGCGGCUCAACCGCGGAACUGCCUUU
rnacentral:rRNA from 1 species